AAUGAACGCUGGCGGCAUGCCUAACACAUGCAAGUCGAACGAAUCCUUCGGGUCUAGUGGCGCACGCGUGCGUGACGCGUGGGAACCUGCCCUUAGGUUCGGAAUAACCCCCCGGAAGGGGUGCUAAUACGGGAUAAUAUAUUCCAACCAAAGAUAUAUCGCCUUUGGAUGAGCCCGCGUUGGAUUGGAUAGUUGGGAGCGUAAAAGCCUAUCAAGGCGACGAUCCAUAGAUGGUUUGAGAGGAUGAUCAGCCACACUGGGACUGAGACACGGCCGAGAAUCUUGCGGGAGGGAGGAAUGGGGGAUAUUGCACAAUGGGGGAAGGGAUGAUGGAGCAAGGCCGGGUGAGUAAUGAAGGCCUUGGGGUUGUAAAGCACUUUUACACGGGAUGAUAAUGACGGUACCGGGAGAAUAAGCUCCGGCUAACUCCGUG
rnacentral:rRNA from 1 species